rnacentral:lncRNA from 1 species
ACAUGCACAAAAUGGAUCGCAAGCAAAGGCAGAUAAACAAGAGAACAUGAUUGAAAGGAUUGCAUCUUUAGCCAUUCCGGACAUAAAUUAGAGAUAAAAUACAGCCCUCAGUGGCCCGUUCAUCAAACCAAUGAAAAAGUCACUACAGACUAGGCAAUUACAUACAUGAUCCAAUCAACCGAACCUCAUCUUUCUCUCCCUGCUAUGGAUCUAAGCAAUGUCAUGAUAGUAGUCUAUGGUGGCUGCUACUCCUUGGCAGCGACCUUCUUCUUGGGGGACUUGGUGGUGGUCUUCUUCUUGGGCGACUUGGCCUCCUUCUCUGCGGUGGCGGGGGACUUCUUGGGGAGAAGCACGGAGUUGAUGUUGGGGAUCACGCCGCCGUGGGCGAUGGUCACGCCGGCGAGCAGCCUGCCGAGUUCCUGGUCGUUGCGGACGGCGAGCAGCAGGUGGCGCGGGAUGAUGCGGGUCUUCUUGUUGUCCUUGGCCGCGUUGCCGGCGAGCUCCAAGACCUGCGAUUCAUAAAGGAAAUCGGUCAGUUAUCAGUCGAGCACGACGAGAACAGAGUAACGAAGGCUCCAGGAGGGGAGAGAUCGGUGCAUACCUCGGCGGCGAG